UACGGAGGGUGCGAGCGUUGUCCGGAAUCACUGGGCGUAAAGGGCGCGUAGGCGGCUCGAUAAGGCUGUGGUGAAAGCCCGGGGCUCAACCCCGGGUCGGCCGUGGCGACUGUUGGGCUGGAGCACUGUAGAGGCGGGCGGAAUUCCGGGUGUAGCGGUGGAAUGCGUAGAGAUCCGGAAGAACACCAGUGGCGAAGGCGGCCCGCUGGGCAGUGGCUGACGCUGAGGCGCGACAGCGUGUGGAGCAAACAGG
rnacentral:rRNA from 1 species